rnacentral:lncRNA from 1 species
UAUCACGAGGAUUACAACAGCCAUCAGAGAGACGGAAUCCAUUGAAAAGCACGCCAGGGCCCUGGUGGGACUGUGGGAUUCCUGCUUGGAGCACAACCUGAGACCUGCAGGGAAAGACGAAGAUACUCCACACGCUAAAAUCGCAUCCGAUAUCAUGAGUUGUAUCUUACAAAAUUACAACCGGACCCCUGUGAUGGUCUUAGCUGUACCCAUCGCAGUGAAAUUCCUCCACAGAGGCAGCAAGGAGCUGUGUAGGAACAUGUCCAACUACCUGUCCUUGGCUGCCAUCACCAAGGCCGAUCUCCUGGCUGACCACACUGAAGGGAUAGUAAAGAGCAUACUCCAAGGUACAGUGCAAGAACUGAGCUGGGAAUGUGUUUAACAGAAAUUUAAUAAAGUGCUUAAUGGCGCCUAUGAGUGAGGCCUAGCACAU